rnacentral:misc_RNA from 1 species
GAUAAGGGAAAGAAUCCAACUCCUUAGAGAAACCACCAAUUGCUAAUUGCCUCAAUCGAGUGAGCCUACCUAACAUCGUCUUUGGGAAGUAAAUCAAACUUCGACACUUUGUUAUUCGUAAAUCAUUAAGAGAACGAAAUUCUCCUAAAUAUUCGGGAACCGAUGUCAGCUCACGGCAUUCAUCUAUUUCCAAUGAUUUCAGAGAAGUGAAGGAUUUCAGCCCA